UACGAAGGGGGCUAGCGUUGCUCGGAAUCACUGGGCGUAAAGCGCACGUAGGCGGAUUGUUAAGUCAGGGGUGAAAUCCUGGAGCUCAACUCCAGAACUGCCUUUGAUACUGGCGAUCUCGAGUCCGGGAGAGGUGAGUGGAACUCCGAGUGUAGAGGUGAAAUUCGUAGAUAUUCGGAAGAACACCAGUGGCGAAGGCGGCUCACUGGCCCGGUACUGACGCUGAGGUGCGAAAGCGUGGGGAGCAAACAGG
rnacentral:rRNA from 1 species